ensembl:lncRNA
CACUUGAAGUGUACUGUUAGAUAGAGGCAUGUGACCAGAAAGCUAGCUACAGUUUGUUUUCUUCCUGUAUUGAACACAAAUCAUCCCGUCUUCAAUUUGAUCGAUUCUUUACGUUAAAAAAUACCUAUAGUUGUAUUACAAAAGUAGUUUGAAAUGUUUUGGCAAAGUUUACAGGUAACUUUUGAGAUAUCUUGUAGUCACGUUGAGCAAGUUGGAACUAGUGUUUUUCUGGAUCAAACGCUUCAAAUAAAUGGACAUUUUGGAUAUAUAUCAACGGAAUUAAUCGAACAAAAGGACCAUUUGUGAUGUUUAUGGGACAUAUUGGAGUGCCAACAAAAGAAGCUCGUCAAAGGAAAGCACAAGCGGUGAGGGUCGCAAACUACAUGGCAUCUGACAGUGGUGGCUGAGCUGGAAGAGAUGGGUCUCUCAUUGGACAGCACACACGCUGUGACUCCAGUGGUAGAAGAUUGUUGCGGCCUUAUGUGCCACCUGGGAUGAAGAGGACUAAG